UACGGAGGAGGCAAGCGUUAUCCGGAAUUAUUGGGCGUAAAGCGUCCGUAGAUGGUUUUGUCAGUCUGCUGUCAAAGCACAGGGCUUAACCCUGUAAAGGCAGUGGAAACUACAAGACUAGAGUGCAGUAGGGGCAGAGGGAAUUCCCAGUGUAGCGGUGAAAUGCGUAGAGAUUGGGAAGAACACCCGUGGCGAAAGCGCUCUGCUGGACUGCAACUGACAUUGAGGGACGAAAGCUAGGGGAGCGAAUGGG
rnacentral:rRNA from 1 species